AUUGAACGCUGGCGGCAGGCCUAACACAUGCAAGUCGCACGAGUGGCGGACGGGUGAGUAAUGUCUGGGAAACUGCCCGAUGGCGGGGGGUAACUACUGGAAACGGUAGCUAAUACCGCGUACCCUCGGAUGUGCCCAGAUGGGAUUAGCUUGUAGGUGAGGUAACGGCUCACCUAGGCGACGAUCCCUAGCUGGUCUGAGAGGAUGACCAGACACAUUGGAACUGAGAGACGGUCCAGACUCCUACGGGAGGCAGCAGGGGGGAAUAUUGCACAAGGGGCGGAAGCCUGAUGCAGCCAGGCCGAGUGUAGGAAGAAGGCCUUCGGGUUGUAAAGUACUUUCAGCGGGGAGGCGUUACCCGCAGAAGAAGCACCGGCUAACUCCGUGCCAGCAGCCGCGGUAAUAC
rnacentral:rRNA from 1 species